GCAGCGCUCCCAAGUGCUGUAACGACUGCAUGGAGAUGCGUGGCUCUUCAUGGGAACAGCAAGGAACCGGAAUCUGCAUUUCCUGGAAUGCCCCAGAACCUCGCUUUGCUGGCUGGUAAUUGUCUGCCCAGCAGGUGGCAGCAGAGCUGCGUUGCUCCUGAGCACUUUAAGGACAGCACGGAGAUGCGCGGCUCUUCAUGGCAGCAGCAGAAACUGGAAUCUGCAUUUCCUGGAAUGCCCUGGAACCUCGCUUUGCUGGCCGGUAAUUGUCUGCCCAGCAGGUGAAGAUGCCUUCGAUGCUUCCAGUUGAUGGCUUCCCCCCUGCAAUGCCAUCAUCUUUCCAGUCCUCCCACACUCACCGCCAGCUCGGUUCAGUCCAGCUUUUACCUGAAUCCCUGCUCUGUUCCCUUUCCUGAGUGCUGUAAGGACAGCACGGAGAUGCACAGCUCUUCAUGGCAGCAGCAAGGAACCGGAAUCUGCAUUUCCUGGAACGCCCCGGAACCCCCCUUUGCUGCCUGGUAAUUGUCUGCCCAGCAGGUGAAGAUGCCUUCGAUGCUUCCAGUCGAUGACUUCCCCCCUGCGAUGCCAUUGGCUUUCCUGGCCUCCCACACUCACCGCCAGCUCAGUUCAGUUGAGCCGUUACCCGAAUCCCCACUCCGUUCCCUUUCCAUGAUCUUCCUGUCACUCUGCCACAAGCCCCCACCAAGGUCAUCGCAGGCAACGUGUGGGAUGCAGCAUUCGGUCUCAUUACAGUUCAUCCCAUCAGCUUCAGCCCGGAGAUCCAACCCACCCGCACCCUUCCUGAGGGCCCUUCUGCUCCCAGGCCAAUCAACGCUUCCUUCUGAUGCCAUCUGCGUUCCUUCCUGGCCACUUUCAGACUCGUGCCCCUUUGUGGCCAUUUUGAGAGUUGCGCUGAUUUCAGCGUCUGCAUUCAAUUGACUUCAACCAAAUUGGAUUUAGCUUUACAUU